rnacentral:rRNA from 1 species
GGUUAAGCGACUAAGCGUACACGGUGGAUGCCCUGGCAGUCAGAGGCGAUGAAGGACGUGCUAAUCUGCGAAAAGCGUCGGUAAGGUGAUAUGAACCGUUAUAGCCGGCGAUGUCCGAAUGGGGAAACCCAGUGCAAUUCGUUGCACUAUCGUUAACUGAAUACAUAGGUUAACGAGGCGAACCGGGGGAACUGAAACAUCUAAGUACCCCGAGGAAAAGAAAUCAACCGAGAUUCCCCCAGUAGCGGCGAGCGAACGGGGAGCAGCCCGGAGUCUGAAUCAGCUUGUGUGUUAGUGGAAGCGUCUGGAAAGUCGCAGGGUACAGGGUGAUACUCCCGUACACUAAAACGCACAGGUUGUGAACUCGAAGAGUAGGGCGGGACACGUGGUAUCCUGUCUGAAUAUGGGGGGACCAUCCUCCAAGGCUAAAUACUCCUGACUGACCGAUAGUGAACCAGUACCGUGAGGGAAAGGCGAAAAGAACCCCGGCGAGGGGAGUGAAAAAGAACCUGAAACCGUGUACGUACAAGCAGUAGGAGCCCACUAGUUGGGUGACUGCGUACCUUUUGUAUAAUGGGUCAGCGACUUAUAUUCUGUAGCAAGGUUAACCGUAUAGGGGAGCCGCAGGGAAACCGAGUCUUAACUGGGCGUUAAGUUGCAGGGUAUAGACCCGAAACCCGGUGAUCUAGCCAUGGGCAGGUUGAAGGUUGGGUAACACUAACUGGAGGACCGAACCGACUAAUGUUGAAAAAUUAGCGGAUGACUUGUGGCUGGGGGUGAAAGGCCAAUCAAACCGGGAGAUAGCUGGUUCUCCCCGAAAGCUAUUUAGGUAGCGCCUCGUGAAUUCAUCUUCGGGGGUAGAGCACUGUUUCGGCUAGGGGGUCAUCCCGACUUACCAACCCGAUGCAAACUACGAAUACCGAAGAAUGUUAUCACGGGAGACACACGGCGGGUGCUAACGUCCGUCGUGAAGAGGGAAACAACCCAGACCGCCAGCUAAGGUCCCAAAGUCAUGGUUAAGUGGGAAACGAUGUGGGAAGGCCCAGACAGCCAGGAUGUUGGCUUAGAAGCAGCCAUCAUUUAAAGAAAGCGUAAUAGCUCACUGGUCGAGUCGGCCUGCGCGGAAGAUGUAACGGGGCUAAACCAUGCACCGAAGCUGCGGCAGCGACACUAUGUGUUGUUGGGUAGGGGAGCGUUCUGUAAGCCGUUGAAGGUGGCCUGUGAGGGUUGCUGGAGGUAUCAGAAGUGCGAAUGCUGACAUAAGUAACGAUAAUGCGGGUGAAAAACCCGCACGCCGGAAGACCAAGGGUUCCUGUCCAACGUUAAUCGGGGCAGGGUGAGUCGACCCCUAAGGCGAGGCCGAAAGGCGUAGUCGAUGGGAAACAGGUUAAUAUUCCUGUACUCGGUGUUACUGCGAAGGGGGGACGGAGAAGGCUAUGUUGGCCGGGCGACGGUUGUCCCGGUUUAAGCAUGUAGGCGGAUGUUCCAGGUAAAUCCGGAACGUCACUAACGCUGAGGUGUGAUGACGAGGCACUACGGUGCUGAAGUGACAAAUGCCCUGCUUCCAGGAAAAGCCUCUAAGCAUCAGGUAACAUCAAAUCGUACCCCAAACCGACACAGGUGGUCAGGUAGAGAAUACCAAGGCGCUUGAGAGAACUCGGGUGAAGGAACUAGGCAAAAUGGUGCCGUAACUUCGGGAGAAGGCACGCUGAUGGUAGGUGAAGUGACUUGCUCAUGGAGCUGAAAUCAGUCGAAGAUACCAGCUGGCUGCAACUGUUUAUUAAAAACACAGCACUGUGCAAACACGAAAGUGGACGUAUACGGUGUGACGCCUGCCCGGUGCCGGAAGGUUAAUUGAUGGGGUUAUCCGUAAGGAGAAGCUCUUGAUCGAAGCCCCGGUAAACGGCGGCCGUAACUAUAACGGUCCUAAGGUAGCGAAAUUCCUUGUCGGGUAAGUUCCGACCUGCACGAAUGGCGUAAUGAUGGCCAGGCUGUCUCCACCCGAGACUCAGUGAAAUUGAACUCGCUGUGAAGAUGCAGUGUACCCGCGGCAAGACGGAAAGACCCCGUGAACCUUUACUAUAGCUUGACACUGAACACUGGUCCUUGAUGUGUAGGAUAGGUGGGAGGCUUUGAAGUGUGGACGCCAGUCUGCAUGGAGCCAUCCUUGAAAUACCACCCUUUAAUGGCUGGUGUUCUAACGUGGGCCCGUAAUCCGGGUUGCGGACAGUGUCUGGUGGGUAGUUUGACUGGGGCGGUCUCCUCCUAAAGAGUAACGGAGGAGCACGAAGGUCAGCUAAUCCUGGUCGGACAUCAGGAGGUUAGUGCAAUGGCAUAAGCUGGCUUGACUGCGAGCGUGACGGCGCGAGCAGGUGCGAAAGCAGGUCAUAGUGAUCCGGUGGUUCUGAAUGGAAGGGCCAUCGCUCAACGGAUAAAAGGUACUCCGGGGAUAACAGGCUGAUACCGCCCAAGAGUUCAUAUCGACGGCGGUGUUUGGCACCUCGAUGUCGGCUCAUCACAUCCUGGGGCUGAAGUAGGUCCCAAGGGUAUGGCUGUUCGCCAUUUAAAGUGGUACGCGAGCUGGGUUUAGAACGUCGUGAGACAGUUCGGUCCCUAUCUGCCGUGGGCGCUGGAGAAUUGAGGGGGGCUGCUCCUAGUACGAGAGGACCGGAGUGGACGCAUCACUGGUGUUCGGGUUGUCAUGCCAAUGGCAUUGCCCGGUAGCUAAAUGCGGAAGAGAUAAGUGCUGAAAGCAUCUAAGCACGAAACUUGCCCCGAGAUGAGUUCUCCCUGACCCUUUAAGGGUCCUGAAGGAACGUUGAAGACGACGACGUUGAUAGGCCGGGUGUGUAAGCGCAGCGAUGCGUUGAGCUAACCGGUACUAAUGAACCGUGAGGCUUAACCUU